rnacentral:rRNA from 1 species
UACGUAGGGGGCGAGCGUUGUCCGGAUUUACUGGGCGUAAAGCGCAUGCAGGCGGUCCUGUAAGUUUGGAGUGACAGUUUCCGGCUUAACCGGGAAAGUGCUUUGAAAACUGCAGGACUUGAGGGCUUCAGAGGGACACGGAAUUCCGGGUGGAGUGGUGAAAUGCGUAGAGAUCCGGAGGAACACCGAAGGCGAAGGCAGUGUCCUGGCGCGUAUCUGACGCUGAGGUGCGAAAGCCAGGGGAGCGAACGGG